CCGUUUUCCAGAGAAUCCCACCAUUUUCUGUUCACUCAUCUCUCCUCCCCAUCCUUCCUCUCUGGCAGCCAGGAUGGGCCUGGGAUGUGCUCCUGAUGGAAAGAGGGGUCUGCAGUACCUACCAAAGAAGCAAACCAUCCCUUGGGUGCUGCUCUUCAAACCUCCAUUCUCGAUGGCAAAAGGGAAUUUGGUGCCUGAAAACAAGUCCUCUGCAGUAAGGAUGCACAGGCUCAUCCCAGGCUAGCUACAUCCCAGGCUUCAGGAAAUUGGACAGGAGGUUGGCUGAAAGUGUACCAGAGCUCUACAGGGAUUUCUUGUGCCUUUUCAAGGAAGGAUUUGCUGUGUUCUAGAAUGUGUAAAUAUUGUUCAGGGCUUGUUUUGUUUUGUUUUUUAUCUCAAAUGCUUGCCAAGGAAAUAGAACUGCGCAAACAUAAUUAGCCAGAGGCUGAACAUUUAAUCUUAAAUUCUGAGUCUUCAUUAAGUCUUAAUUUAAACCUUAGGAGGGAAGCUUGCAACCAUUCCUGUUCAUAAGAGUGGAUGGAAUUUGUGGCAGGUUUUAAUGGCAGAAGAGGGAAACCACUCCAAUGGGGACAGCUUGGA